AACGCUGAAGAGAGGAGCUUGCUCUUCUUGGAUGAGUUGCGAACGGGUGAGUAACGCGUAGGUAACCUGCCUUGUAGCGGGGGAUAACUAUUGGAAACGAUAGCUAAUACCGCAUAACAAUGGAUGACACAUGUCAUUUAUUUGAAAGGGGCAAUUGCUCCACUACAAGAUGGACCUGCGUUGUAUUAGCUAGUAGGUGAGGUAAUGGCUCACCUAGGCGACGAUACAUAGCCGACCUGAGAGGGUGAUCGGCCACACUGGGACUGAGACACGGCCCAGACUCCUACGGGAGGCAGCAGUAGGGAAUCUUCGGCAAUGGGGGCAACCCUGACCGAGCAACGCCGCGUGAGUGAAGAAGGUUUUCGGAUCGUAAAGCUCUGUUGUAAGUCAAGAACGGGUGUGAGAGUGGAAAGUUCACACUGUGACGGUAGCUUACCAGAAAGGGACGGCUAACUACGUGCCAGCAGCCGCGGUAAUACGUAGGUCCCGAGCGUUGUCCGGAUUUAUUGGGCGUAAAGCGAGCGCAGGCGGUUUGAUAAGUCUGAAGUUAAAGGCUGUGGCUCAACCAUAGUUCGCUUUGGAAACUGUCAAACUUGAGUGCAGAAGGGGAGAGUGGAAUUCCAUGUGUAGCGGUGAAAUGCGUAGAUAUAUGGAGGAACACCGGUGGCGAAAGCGGCUCUCUGGUCUGUAACUGACGCUGAGGCUCGAAAGCGUGGGGAGCGAACAGGAUUAGAUACCCUGGUAGUCCACGCCGUAAACGAUGAGUGCUAGGUGUUGGAUCCUUUCCGGGAUUCAGUGCCUCAGCUAACGCAUUAAGCACUCCGCCUGGGGAGUACGACCGCAAGGUUGAAACUCAAAGGAAUUGACGGGGGCCCGCACAAGCGGUGGAGCAUGUGGUUUAAUUCGAAGCAACGCGAAGAACCUUACCAGGUCUUGACAUCCCGAUGCUAUUUCUAGAGAUAGAAAGUUACUUCGGUACAUCGGUGACAGGUGGUGCAUGGUUGUCGUCAGCUCGUGUCGUGAGAUGUUGGGUUAAGUCCCGCAACGAGCGCAACCCCUAUUGUUAGUUGCCAUCAUUCAGUUGGGCACUCUAGCGAGACUGCCGGUAAUAAACCGGAGGAAGGUGGGGAUGACGUCAAAUCAUCAUGCCCCUUAUGACCUGGGCUACACACGUGCUACAAUGGUUGGUACAACGAGUUGCGAGUCGGUGACGGCGAGCUAAUCUCUUAAAGCCAAUCUCAGUUCGGAUUGUAGGCUGCAACUCGCCUACAUGAAGUCGGAAUCGCUAGUAAUCGCGGAUCAGCACGCCGCGGUGAAUACGUUCCCGGGCCUUGUACACACCGCCCGUCACACCACGAGAGUUUGUAACACCCGAAGUCGGUGAGGUAACCUUUUGGAGCCAGCCGCCUAAGGUGGGACAGAUGAUUGGGGUGAAGUCG
rnacentral:rRNA from 1 species